rnacentral:lncRNA from 1 species
CCUUCUCACUGAAGAGAGCGUGCAUGCCGGACUGAUUACUAUUCUGACUAAUGAAUUCUAUUAACUCGGGGCAACGCCCAAUCUUUAGCACUUUCAACAAUGGGAACUCAAUAUUGUGGUUUCCUGAGUUGAAGAAGAUGAGGUUUGGAAGACCCACUAUUUGCAGGGAGUUUAAUCGAGGGAAACAAAUCACAUCUUUCCUUUCUUCUUCAAUUUCCUCUGUAAGUAUUAUGUCCCUUAAGCACUUGCAAUCCUCCACUCCAUCCCCUUUCGAUACAAUCUCCUCAACUCAACAAUCAGUGAUGCUUAAAUGUUCAAGUUGUGGAAGAUCUUUGGCUAUUGAUACUGGAAAUAGAUUUUUCAAAUUCUCACAUCGCCGAACAUUUAUUUUUCGUAGAUUUUUAAAGGAACCUGGUGCUAGGUCAUUAUAAAAUAUCAUCUUCACAUUACUCAAGUUAAUCUCCAUGUCUUCCAAGCUAGGAACUGCAACCUGUUCAUAUAUAUAUAUAAUCCAUGCCCAUAAUAAGGUUAGCCCAAAUAAUGAAGGCAGAAAAAAAAAAACAAGGACAAAUCAACAGAUUUAUGCAAGAGUGUAAGACUACUGAAAUAAAUCACCUUCUCACUGAAGAGAGCGUGCAUGCCGGACUGAUUACUAUUCUGACUAAUGAAUUCUAUUAACUUGGGGCAACGCUCAAUCUUUAGCACUUUCAACAAUGGGAACUCAAUAUUGUGGUUUCCUGAGUUGAAGAAGAUGAGGUUUGGAAGACCCACUAUAUGCAGGGAGUUUAAUCGAGCGAAACAAAUCACAUCUCUCCUUUCUUCUUCAAUUUCCUCUGUAAGUAUUAUGUCCCUUAAGCAAUAGCAAUCCUCUAUCUCAAAGCAUUGGAGCUGCACC